GCCGUUGACAGAGUGCAGGCGGGAAGCUUCAGUUUGGGUAGAGAUGUAGCAUCAAACAUUCACGGAUGUCCAGGGAGCGCGGGCACACAGGCUGCUGGCCAGAGACUGGAGCCUAUGAACACAAUACACUAGUCAUGUUGGAGAUAACAGCCUGACCUGAGUGUGGCUGCAAAAUGAAGCCAUGUUUGGCUUUCCUAAGACAUCAGGCUCACAGCUCUGCUGGACUCUUUAAACCCCGAGGUCAUGUGAAAAGAAGUUUGUCCUGGGUCUGCCUGUCUCUUGUUGGCUGUCCACAAGAUGGAGAAGGCGGAAGCAACCUGAGGCGUCCUCUUUGUCUGUAAGGAUAGAGGGUCCAUUGUGGAAGGGAGAGAUACAGGCACUAUAUAGGCGAGGCCCUACCGGCCUGCAUCUCUUAUCUCCAGAAUUCUUUUACAGAAAAGAAAUAAAUAAAUAAACUUUUAUCUGGCUUAAGCCAC
rnacentral:lncRNA from 1 species